AUUGAUAAAGGCAAACCAGUCGUGAGGCUGGGACGCAAAGCAAAGGAUCUUUAACGUAUUCAGCGGCGCAUAAGGCGCAAAGCGAAAAAUCCGCAGAAAGAUGAAGAGGGAAAUUUCGUAAAACCGCUUAACAGUAAAGAAAGCCCUGCUACCGAAU
rnacentral:ncRNA from 1 species